rnacentral:rRNA from 1 species
CGGGAGGCAGCAGUUAGGAAUCUUCCACAGUGGGCGCAAGCCUGAUGGAGCGACACUGCGUGAAGGAUGAAGGUUUUCGGAUCGUAAACUUCUGAACGAGGGACGAAUAAUGACGGUACCUCGCUAAAAGCACCGGCUAACUCCGUGCCAGCAGCCGCGGUAAUACGGAGGGUGCAAGCGUUAUCCGGAAUCACUGGGCGUAAAGGGCACGUAGGCGGUCUUCUAAGUCCGAUGUUAAAGCGUGGGGCUCAACCCCAUCACGGCGUUGGAUACUGGUAGGCUUGACGGCUGGAGAGGUGAGUAGAAUUACCAGUGUAGCGGUGGAAUGCGUAGAUACUGGUAGGAAUACCCAUUGCGAAGGCAGCUCACUGGACAGUACGUGACGCUGAGGUGCGAAAGUGUGGGGAGCAAACCGGAUUAGAUACCCGGGUAGUCCACACCCUAAAC